UACGGAGGGUGCGAGCGUUGUCCGGAAUCAUUGGGCGUAAAGGGCGCGUAGGUGGCCCGGUCAGUUCGUGGUGAAAGCGCGGGGCUCAACCCUGCGUCGGCCAUGAAUACUGCCGCGGCUGGAGCACUGUAGAGGCAGGCGGAAUUCCGGGUGUAGCGGUGGAAUGCGUAGAGAUCCGGAAGAACACCGGUGGCGAAGGCGGCCUGCUGGGCAGUUGCUGACACUGAGACGCGAAAGCGUGGGGAGCAAACAGGG
rnacentral:rRNA from 1 species